rnacentral:rRNA from 1 species
UACGGAGGGUGCAAGCGUUAAUCGGAAUCACUGGGCGUAAAGCGCGCGUAGGUGGCUAUUUAAGUCAGAUGUGAAAGCCCUGGGCUCAACCUGGGAAUGGCAUUUGAGACUGGAUAGCUAGAGUAUGGUAGAGGUGAGUGGAAUUUCAGGUGUAGCGGUGAAAUGCGUAGAGAUCUGAAGGAACAUCAGUGGCGAAGGCGACUCACUGGGCCAUUACUGACACUGAGGUGCGAAAGCGUGGGUAGCAAACAGG